AUUGAACGCUGGCGGAAUGCUUUACACAUGCAAGUCGAACGGCAGCACGGGUGCUUGCACCUGGUGGCGAGUGGCGAACGGGUGAGUAAUGCACCGGAACGUAUCCAAUAAUGGGGGGAUAACGCACCGAAAGGUGUGCUAAUACCGCAUACGCCCUGAGGGGGAAAGCGGGGGAUCGGUAAGACCUCGCGUUAAUGGAGCGGCCGAUGCCGGAUUAGCUAGUUGGUGAGGUAAAGGCUCACCAAGGCGACGAUCCGUAGCUGGUCUGAGAGGACGACCAGCCACACUGGAACUGAGACACGGUCCAGACUCCUACGGGAGGCAGCAGUGGGGAAUUUUGGACAAUGGGCGCAAGCCUGAGUCCAGCCAUUCCGCGUGAGUGAGAAGGCCUCGGGUUGUAAA
rnacentral:rRNA from 1 species